rnacentral:rRNA from 1 species
UACGUAGGUGGCGAGCGUUGUCCGGAUUUACUGGGCGUAAAGGGAGCGUAGGCGGAUUUUUAAGUGAGAUGUGAAAUACUCGGGCUCAACUUGAGUGCUGCAUUUCAAACUGGAAGUCUAGAGUGCAGGAGAGGAGAAUGGAAUUCCUAGUGUAGCGGUGAAAUGCGUAGAGAUUAGGAAGAACACCAGUGGCGAAAGCGGCUCUCUGGUCUGUAACUGACGCUGAGGUUCGAAAGCGUGGGUAGCAAACAGG